rnacentral:lncRNA from 1 species
CACCAAUUGCAUGUAUAUCUAGCAUACCUCACCUUUGGGAUAUGUACAAAGCACAACUAACGAUCCAACUGCAUAGUAAUUUUUUUUGUACACUUUAUGGCUACAUCUAACCUCCUUGUUAGACUGCCUACGUACCCUAAACAGGGAUCAAGGCAUUCGUAGUUCGUCAUUCGUCGAACUCUAAUCUUUUCGUAAAAUUCUUCUAGCAGAAAUCAUGGAGUACCACACUACACAUCAACCUUACACCAAACAAUAAGGUAAGCCAUCUUCACACAUAUGCUUCCCAAUUCAUACAUCAUAUAAAUCACUAUAUUUCACAUAAUACCUCAAUUCAUGGUAUGCAACAUCUCAAAGAACAGUCAACAAAGCACAAUGUUAUUCUCUAGCCACAUUGGUUAACAAGUCUAAUUAUAAUGACAACAAUCACAACCAACAUCAAUCAAUAACACAUAUCAUAGAAACAAAUCCAGGGCUAGCGACACAGUUCGACUGAAGCCUACAUCUCUGAAGCUGAAAUCAAAUCCAAGGAACCAACACGUCACAUGGAUACAAUUCUGAACCAUCACUCAAUGGAAUUGCAGAGUAGAAGGGAUUCCGGACCAUCACUCAUCGGAAUGGCGGAGUAGAAGGGAUUCUGGACCAUCACUCAACCGAAUCGCGGAGUAGAAGGGAUUCUAGACCAUCACUCAACGAAAUCCAUGUGGAUAUAGUACCUACCGAAUGUACCAGGUAUAUCUAAACUGCAUCAUCCCUAUAAAUUACAACGUAAUCACAUACAUAAUACUUCUAAUAAGAUUCCAGGUUCACAUCAUCAUAAAAACAAUCAUACAUGUCAUACAAACCACAUUUCAUAAACGUUUCCAAGCUAUAGUCGAAUCACAAUUAAUAAACCUAGAUCGAUGGCUAAGAAUAAAAAUAACAAUUUAAUAGAAAUCACAUUUAAUAAACAAGUAUAACUCAAUAUGGCGCCAUUAGUACAUAAAACGAGACACACGUCAUCACGAUAAGCCCAUUAAGCUCCAUGAAAUCUCAACAGCACUCUAAGCUAAAUGACAUGCUAGAAUAAUUCGGCUAGUUGACUAAAAUGUCAACUGUCAAUCAAGGUAGAGGGUUGGGUCCACAACCCUAGUAAUCUAAUCCGGAAGAUUCGCCUAUCAGAUUUAUGAUCCGUAAAUUCCCAAGGGUCUUUUUAAUUUCCUAGAACAAUAUCUUAAAAUUUCGGAAGGAUCCAACAAUCAGAUCUCCGCCAAUUGCUAAAAUUACGUGGCGCCACCGUUUAAUUUUACAACUUAGGAAAUCAAUCCAAGAAAAUCUGUAAGCAAGAUUCCUAAUCCGUGAGUUCCUAAUAUCCUUAAAUAUUAUGUACUAUUACGUAUUUAAGUUUGGUGCUGAUCCAACGGUCGGAUUGUCAAUUCAUAUAAUGCCCAAGUGGCGGUCUCUAUCAAAACUAAAGUCAUAUGAUGAGAUUUCAUCAAUCAAACAUCACAUAUGGAAUCAGGGUAUCCAAAUCAGUGUAGGAAGGGUAGGUGGGGUCUCAGCCCAUGCCCCGCCACACGGGGCGGCCGACCGUCCCGACUUGCUGGAAAAUUCAACUAUUUCAAAAAAUUACCAAAUUUUACAAGCAUAUAGAUCUCAAUGAGAGGAGAAAUUUUCAUACCUGGCGAAAGUCCAAUUCUGCAGUGAAACGCCUGAAAUCAGUCUUCAUCCGCGGGAACCCUAGAAUUGGGUGUUCCUUGAUUCGUCCUCAAAUCGACUCCGACGUUCCAACCAAUGAUUGGGCAUUGUUCCCGAGCUCAAGGGAGAUAUUUUGAUGGUGAAGAUCAAUGGGGAGGGUUGUAGAAAAAGGUGAAUCGGCUCUGGGUGCCCUCGAAGCUAACGACUUCUGUUCUACCAAAUCUGAGCCCAACAACUCCAUUUUUUGGAUGAGAAUUAAAGGUGAGACAAUGAUGAGACAUUUCCAGAUGGUGGCUUGGCUUAGUUCGCUGGCAUUUGGCCGGAGGAACCAACGGUUCCAUUGUUUCCGAUCGAGUCGGGUCGUAAAGAUCCAGGUAAGGGAUUCAUGAUCCCUUGCUUCUCUCCCCUUUCCCUUCCUUCUUUUCUUCUUUCUCCAUUAGUCACCCUCCUUUCUCUCUCCUUUCCUAAUUUGGCCCCCCUCUCUCCUCUCUUCCCCC